CCUCCUACGGGAGGCAGCAGUGGGGAAUAUUGCACAAUGGGGGAAACCCUGAUGCAGCAACGCCGCGUGAGUGAAGGAGUAUUUCGGUAUGUAAAGCUCUAUCAGUAGGGAAGAAGAAAGACGAUACCUGACUAAGAGGCCCCGGCUAACUACGUGCCAGCAGCCGCGGUAAUACGUAGGGGGCAAGCGUUAUCCGGAUUUACUGGGUGUAAAGGGAGCGCAGACGGUGAGACAAGUCUGAAGUGAAAGCCCGGGGCUCAACCCCGGGACUGCUUUGGAAACUGCCUGACUGGAGUGCUGGAGAG
rnacentral:rRNA from 1 species